rnacentral:rRNA from 1 species
CGCCAGACUCCUACGGGAGGCAGCAGUGGGGAAUUUUGCGCAAUGGGGGAAACCCUGACGCAGCAACGCCGCGUGCGGGACGAAGGCCCUCGGGUUGUAAACCGCUUUCAGCAGGGAAGAUCCAAGACGGUACCUGCAGAAGAAGCUCCGGCUAACUACGUGCCAGCAGCCGCGGUAAUACGUAGGGGGCGAGCGUUAUCCGGAUUCACUGGGUGUAAAGGGAGCGUAGACGGCCACGCAAGCCAGGGGUGAAAGCCCGGGGCCCAACCCCGGGACUGCCCUUGGAACUGUGCGGCUAGAGUGCGGGAGGGGCAGGCGGAAUUCCUGGUGUAGCGGUGAAAUGCGUAGAUAUCAGGAGGAACACCGGCGGCGAAGGCGGCCUGCUGGACCGCGACUGACGUUGAGGCUCGAAAGCGUGGGGAGCGAACAGGAUUAGAUACCCGUGUA